AUUGAACGCUGUCGGCCGGCCUAACACAUGCAAGUCGAACGAGAGGCGGACGGGUGAGUAAUGUCUGGGAAUCUGCCCGAUGGAGGGGGAUAACUACUGGAAACGGUAGCUAAUCCCGCAUACCAUCGGAUGUACCCAUAUGGGAUUAGCUAGUAGGUGGGGUAAUGGCUCACCUAGGCGACGAUCCCUAGCUGGUCUGAGAGGAUGACCAGACACAAUGGAACUGAGACACGGGCCAGACUCCUAAGGGAGGCAGCAGUGGGGAAUAUUGGACAAUGGGCGCAAGCCUGUUGCAGCAAGGCUGAGUGAUUGAAGAAUGCAUUAGGGUGGUAAAGUACUGCAAGCGAGGAGGCGUCACACGCAGAAGAAGCAACGGCUAAAUCCGUGCCAGCAGCCGCGGUAAUUC
rnacentral:rRNA from 1 species